AGAGUUUGAUCAUGGCUCAGAAUGAACGUUGGCGGCGUGCCUAACACAUGCAAGUCGAGCGUGAAAGUCCUUCGGGAUGAGUAAAGCGGCGGACGGGUGAGUAACGCGUGAGAAUCUACCUUUUAGUGAAGAAUACCUUUGAGAAAUUAAAGUUAAUGCUGCAUAAGUCUCGUAAGAGAGAAAGAUGGCCUCUUUGCUGUCGCUAAGAGAUGAGCUUGCGUUCUAUUAGUUAGUUGGUGGGGUAAAGGCCUACCAAGACUAUGAUGGAUAACCGGCCUGAGAGGGUGUACGGUCACAUUGGAACUUAGACACGGUCCAAACUCCUACGGGAGGCAGCAGUGAGGAAUAUUGCAUAAUGGGCGAAAGCCUGAUGCAGCAACGCCGCGUGUGCGAUGAAGGCCUUCGGGUUGUAAGGCACUUUUCGAGGGGAUGAGGAAGGACAGUACCCUCGGAAUAAGCCUCGGCUAACUACGUGCCAGCAGCCGCGGUAAAACGUAGGAGGCGAGCGUUAUCCGGAUUUACUGGGCGUAAAGCGUGUGCAGGCGGUUCGGCAAGUUGGAUGUGAAAGCUCCCGGCUUAACUGGGAGAGGUCGUUCAAAACUACCGGACUUGAGUAUGGGAGAGGGAGGUGGAAUUCCGGGUGUAGUGGUGAAAUGCGUAGAUAUCCGGAGGAACACCAGUGGCGAAGGCGGCCUCCUGGCCCAUUUCUGACGCUCAUACACGAAAGCUAGGGGAGCGAACGGGAUUAGAGACCCCGGUAGUCCUAGCUGUAAACGAUGUA
rnacentral:rRNA from 2 species